rnacentral:rRNA from 1 species
CAGGCCUAACACAUGCAAGUCGAGCGGUAAGGCCUCUUCGGGGGUACACGAGCGGCGAACGGGUGAGUAACACGUGAGUAAUCUGCCCUUCACUUCGGGAUAAGCUUCGGAAACGGGGUCUAAUACCGGAUACGACACUUUCAGGCAUCUGAUGAGUGUGGAAAGUUUUUUCGGUGGGGGAUGUGCUCGCGGCCUAUCAGCUUGUUGGUGGGGUAAUGGCCUACCAAGGCUUCGACGGGUAGCCGGCCUGAGAGGGUGACCGGCCACACUGGGACUGAGACACGGCCCAGACUCCUACGGGAGGCAGCAGUGGGGAAUAUUGGACAAUGGGCGGAAGCCUGAUCCAGCAACGCCGCGUGAGGGAUGACGGCCUUCGGGUUGUAAACCUCUUUCAGUACCGACGAAGCGAGAGUGACGGUAGGUACAGAAGAAGCACCGGCCAACUACGUGCCAGCAGCCGCGGUAAU